rnacentral:misc_RNA from 1 species
UUGAAUAAACCUGAUGUGGCUGUUAGCUGGCUUUUCGAAGCAUGUGCUCGUCCGUCAUCUUUAUCUCUCCACCUGUGCACAUUUUGUAGUCUUGGAUACCUCUCGAGGCAACUCGGAUUUUAGGAUCGCCGUGGCUUUCCUUUCAUUUCCAAGACUAUGUUUUUAUAUACACCAAAGUAUGUUUAAAGAAUGUUAUCAAUAGGAACUUGUUUCCUAUAAAAUUAUA